rnacentral:tRNA from 1 species
GCCCUGGUGGCACAGUGGUUAAGUGCUCGGCUGUCAACCAAAAGGUCGGCGGUUUGAACCCACCCAGGGGCU